rnacentral:rRNA from 1 species
GAGUUUNGAUCCUGGCUCAGGACGAACGCUGGCGGCGUGCUUAACACAUGCAAGUCGAACGAUGAAGCCUUCGGGUGGAUUAGUGGCGAACGGGUGAGUAACACGUGGGCAAUCUGCCCUGUACUUUGGGAUAAGCCUGGGAAACUGGGUCUAAUACCGGAUAUCACCGGUCCUCGCAUGGGGGUUGGUUGAAAGUUCUGGCGGUACAGGAUGAGCCCGCGGCCUAUCAGCUUGUUGGUGGGGUAAUGGCCUACCAAGGCGACGACGGGUAGCCGGCCUGAGAGGGUGACCGGCCACACUGGGACUGAGACACGGCCCAGACUCCUACGGGAGGCAGCAGUGGGGAAUAUUGCACAAUGGGCGAAAGCCUGAUGCAGCGACGCCGCGUGAGGGAUGACGGCCUUCGGGUUGUAAACCUCUUUCGCCAGGGACGAAGCGCAAGUGACGGUACCUGGAUAAGAAGCACCGGCUAACUACGUGCCAGCAGCCGCGGUAAUACGUAGGGUGCAAGCGUUGUCCGGAAUUAUUGGGCGUAAAGAGCUCGUAGGCGGUUUGUCGCGUCGUUCGUGAAAACUCCACGCUUAACGUGGAGCGUGCGGGCGAUACGGGCAGACUUGAGUUCGGUAGGGGAGACUGGAAUUCCUGGUGUAGCGGUGAAAUGNGCAGAUAUCAGGAGGAACACCGGUGGCGAAGGCGGG